rnacentral:misc_RNA from 1 species
GAUGAAGAACGCAGCGAAAUGCGAUAAGUAAUGUGAAUUGCAGAAUUCAGUGAAUCAUCGAAUCUUUGAACGCACCUUGCGCUCCUUGGUAUUCCGAGGAGCAUGCCUGUUUGAGUGUCAUUAAAUUCUCAACCAUUAUCAACUUUUGCUGAUAAUGGCUUGGAUGUGGGGGUCUAUUUUGCUGGCUUCUCAGAUAGUCAGCUCCCCUUAAAUGCAUUAGCCGGUGCCCCGCGUGGACUGUCUAUUGGUGUGAUAAUUAUCUACGCUAUGGACAUCUGCAAUCAUAUGGGUUUGCGCUGCUUCUAACAGUCUGUUGAUUCAGACAAUACAUGACAAUUUGACCUCAAAUCAGGUAGGACUACCCGCUGAACUUAAGCAUAUCAAUAAGCGGAGGA